AAAAGAUAAGAAAUAAAUAAUCUAGAAUAAACUGUAAGUAUUUCCAUAUUUCCUGCAGGAGAAGCUAAUCCACGUGUCACGCCAAGUUAUCGCCAAACCAUUGCCAAACUAUCACUAAACUAUGGCGAAGGACACCAGGCCAAGACAGAGAAUAUAGAAAUACUAUAUAUUCUCUAGCUAAGACGACGUCCUUUAAUCUUAAUCUAUUGCAAAUAGCAGCACGCAGCUGUAUCUGAGGUGCAAGAGAUUCGUGUAUAAAAUAGCUUAAUAAUAAAAUUUCGAGAUUUUUCAACGUGCCGUGCGUAAAGUACGACUUUGCCACACCCUUGGCGAAAAACGCGCGCUCGAAUUGGCGUUUUUAAUACGUGGUUUUGGAAAAUACUGAACCUGACAUAUUCAGCAAAUCUUACGUAUUCUGCGAAAGAAUGCAUAAUUUUGUUGUCUGAUCUAAAGGUAAAAAUAGAUUACAAUGCAGUCUAUAACAAAGGUGAAAAAUGCCAUAUGAGAAAAUAAAGAAGCUAAAACUUACAGGUGAUAUCGUCCCAGUUGACGUUAUAGAUUAUAUUUGCACUGAAAUAAACCUACGAGAUUUAUGCCGCGCUCCAAAUAUUGGCAUGCUGCUGUCAAACGAGAAUUACUACGUAGAAAAAUGCAAAGAAUCAGUUUAUAUGAAAACGCAAACAAUCGACCCCAUUUGUUGCAAUUAAAAGUUAAGCCAUACAUAGUAUUAAUGUUUGCUGUUCAGCUAGACAUUCCUAGACCUAUUGUGCACAACCCAUAUCCUACAAAUACUUUUCUAUAUAUAAGCCGGUAUGCAAAAAUAACAAUCCUAGUAGGAAGUUCAAGAUUGCAUACUGAGUAAACCAUUAGUACUGUCAAUAACUUAGAAAAGAAGCAUUUACAUUUUUUUGGAACUAGAGAAAUCCAGUGUUUGAUUAUUCUUAAACAUAACAAGUUGUCAUGUUUGUUUACUUGACAUACAAUCAAACUCAAGAAGACUCAUUCGAUAAAUGGAUAGUAUUUAAUCAACUAUUAUUAAAAGAAAAAUACACAGACAUUUAUUAUGAUGUUCACAUUUAUUGUGAAAAAUCAUUUUUGGAAGAAAGUGUUAAUUAUAUAAAAGAAUGCUUUCAAAGCAAUUCUUAUGCUUUAUGGGGCGAUAAAAUGUAUUUAUUACCAGAAGACCAUUAACAUGCAGGAUUUCUUGGGAUCAGCAUUUCUAGUAAUAAUAUAAAUUUAUUUUCGACUGUGAUUCCUUAUAAAAAAUUGAGUUUAUAAAGUUUUUAGACAAUGUAAAAUUGAAAUGGCACAGUAUGGCAUUCAUAAGGGGUCCAUGGUAUAAGGACUUUAAUUUUUCUGAUGAAGAAGAUAGUAAUGAAUUUGUUAGAGAAAAAAGUGAAUAUUGUAUAUUCAAUUAUGAAAAAUACUAUUUAUCUAAUUUUAUUAAAGUAUUUCCUAAUUCAUUUUUUAUAAGUUUUUUAAUAACUAUUAUAAUUUAUGUUCACUUUAUAAAUAUGUAUAUUAUUGAUUUGAUGGAUAAAUAUUUUCUUGCACAUUCAGAGAACUCAUUGAUACAUAAUGAUGACAUAACUAUUGUUAUUGUAACAUAUAAUUAAAUUAAAAUUCAAUAUAAUAAAUUUAUGUUGAUAAGGAUAACAAUGUCUUUAUUAAUAUGUUUAUAAAAUAAAAAUAUU